rnacentral:rRNA from 1 species
GAUGAACGCUAGCGAUAGGCUUAACACAUGCAAGUCGAGGGGCAGCAUGGUCUUAGCUUGCUAAGGCUGAUGGCGACCGGCGCACGGAUGCGUAACGCGUAUGCAACUUGCCUCACAGAGGGGGAUAACCCGUCGAAAGACGGACUAAUACCGCGUACACUCUAUGUUGGGCAUCCAAUGUAGAGGAAAUGAAAUUCGCUGUGAGAUAGGCAUGCGUCCCAUUGGCUAGUUGGUGAGGUAACGGCUCACCAAGGCGACGAUGGGUAGGGGAACUGAGAGGUUGAACCCCCGCAAGGGUACUGCGACACGGACCAGACUCCUACGGGAGGCAGCAGUGAGGAAUAUUGGUCAAUGGGCGAGAGCCUGAACCAGCCAAGUCGCGUGAAGGAUGACUGUCUUAUGGAUUGUAAACUUCUUUUAUACGGGAAUAACAAGAGUCACGUGUGGCUCCCUGCAUGUACCGUAUGAAUAAGCAUCGGCUAACUCCGUG